GAUAUAAUUCUCAAUAUGAAGUCCUUAGGACUAUUUGAAUCAAUAUAAGAGGAUAUAACAUUUAGUCCUUAAAUCUUAGUUUAUGACCAAAUGAUAUACUAUUAUUAGGAUGAUAGCUAUAUGAAGUAUAGGUUAUUAUAUGCCAUAUGCGUUGGUUGUCCUUUUAAUCAAAGAGUGUGGAGAUACUGGCAUGGCAUACAAACAAGAUGUAGGAGUACAUCUCACUGA
rnacentral:lncRNA from 1 species